GAUGAAGAACGUAGCGAAAUGCGAUAAGUAAUGUGAAUUGCAGAAUUCAGUGAAUCAUCGAAUCUUUGAACGCACAUUGCGCCCGCCAGUAUUCUGGCGGGCAUGCCUGUUCGAGCGUCAUUUCAACCAUCAAGCCCCGGGCUUGUGUUGGGGACCUGCGGCUGCCGCAGGCCCUGAAAUGCAGUGGCGGGCUCGCUGUCACUCCGAGCGUAGUAGUUACAUCUCGCUCUGGGCGUGCUGCGGGUUCCGGCCGUUUAAAGCCUUAUUUACCCAAGGUUGACCUCGGAUCAGGUAGGAAGACCCGCUGAACUUAAGCAUAUCAAUAAGCGGAGGA
rnacentral:misc_RNA from 1 species